AUAAUUAUUGCUUGAUGAUAUGGUAAUAUUAUGUUUAAUUUGAUAAGGAACUGCCAGACUGUUUUUCUAAGUGAUUAUACCAUUUUUCAUUCCCAACAACAAU
rnacentral:pre_miRNA from 1 species